UACGAAGGGUGCAAGCGUUACUCGGAAUUACUGGGCGUAAAGCGUGCGUAGGUGGUUUGUUAAGUCCGUUGUGAAAGCCCUGGGCUCAACCUGGGAAUGGCAGUGGAUACUGGCAAGCUAGAGUGCGGUAAAGGGUAGUGGAAUUCCCGGUGUAGCAGUGAAAUGCGUAGAGAUCGGGAGGAACACCAGUGGCGAAGGCGGCUACCUGGACCAGCACUGACACUGAGGCACGAAAGCGUGGGGAGCAAACAGG
rnacentral:rRNA from 1 species